rnacentral:rRNA from 1 species
UAAGACGAAGGUGACGACCGUUGCUCGGAAUCACUGGGCAUAAAGCGCGCGUAGGUGGCUUGGUAAGUCCAUGGUGAAAUCCCUCGGCUCAACCGAGGAAGUGCCGUGGAUACUGCCGAGCUUGAGGACGGGAGGGGUGAGUGGAACUCUCGGUGUAGCGGUGAAAUGCGUAGAUAUCGAGAGGAACGCCGGUGGCGAAAGCGACUCACUGGACCGUAUCUGACACUGAGGCGCGAAAGCUAGGGGAGCAAACAGGAUUAGAUACCCUGGUAGUCCUAGCUGUAAACGAUGAGUACUGGGUAGAGUUGGUCCAAUGCCAGCUCUGCCGGAGCAAAUGUGUUAAGUACUCCGCCUGGGGAGUAUGGUCGCAAGGCUA